AGAUGAGAUGGUUCGGGGGUCAGGAGGAUGCGCUGCUUCAGAGGGUCCGAGUUCGGUUCCCAAGCUCCCGUGUUGGGCUGCUCACACGCGCCUUUAGCUCAGACGCUAACACAGUGCCCAGAGAAGCCAGAAGAGGGCAUCAGAUCCCCUGGGACUGGAGAACAUGAUGUCUGCAGAGGCCAGAAGAGGGUUUUGAAUUCCCUGGAACUGGAAUUACAGGAGAUUGUGAGCUGCCUGACUUGGCUCCUGGGAACUGAACUUGAGUUCCCUACAAAGAGCAGCAAGCAUUCUCAAGGACUGAGCCAUCACUCCAGUUCCAGCCAAGAAUGUUUUAAAACUAGUGUUCUUAAAUAAGCACCUUGAAAAUAAAAAAUGAAAACGUG